GACGAACGCUGGCGGCGUGCUUAACACAUGCAAGUCGAACGGAAAGGCCCCUUUGUGGGUACUCACGUGGCUAACGGGUGAGUAACACGUGCGUAACCUGCCCUUCCCUUCGGGCUAACUUCACCAAACUGGGUCUAAUACCGGAUAGGAAUCCUUGCUGCAUGGUGGGGGUUGGAAAGCUUUGUCGGGUUUGGGUGGGCUCGCGGCCUUUUCGCCUGGUGGUUGGGUUGUGGCUUACCAAGGCUUUGACCGGUAGGCCGCCCGGGGGGGCGACCGGCCACAAUGGGACUGGGAAACGGCCCAGACUCCUACGGGAGGGAGGAGGGGGGAAUAAUGGACAAUGGGGGGAAGCCCGAUGCAGCAAAGCCGCGGGCGGGAUGACGGCCUUCGGGUUGGAAACCGCUUUCAGCAGGGGAGAAGCGUGUGGUGACGGUACAUGCAGAAGAAGCACCGGCUAACUACGUG
rnacentral:rRNA from 1 species